rnacentral:rRNA from 1 species
CGAGCGCGGGAAGCUGACUGAAUCCUUCGGGAGGACGUGAGUGGAACGAGCGGCGGACGGGUGAGUAACACGUGGGCAACCUGCCUGUAAGACUGGGAUAACUCCGGGAAACCGGGGCUAAUACCGGAUAGUACUUUGGUUCAUAGGAACCGAAGUGGAAAGGUGGCGCAAGCUACCACUUACAGAUGGGCCCGCGGUGCAUUAGCUAGUUGGUGAGGUAACGGCUCACCAAGGCAACGAUGCAUAGCCGACCUGAGAGGGUGAUCGGCCACACUGGGACUGAGACACGGCCCAGACUCCUACGGGAGGCAGCAGUAGGGAAUCUUCCGCAAUGGACGAAAGUCUGACGGAGCAACGCCGCGUGAACGAAGAAGGUUUUCGGAUCGUAAAGUUCUGUUGUUAGGGAAGAACAAGUACCGUUCGAAUAGGGCGGUACCUUGACGGUACCUAUCGAGGAAGCCCCGGCUAACUACGUGCCAGCAGCCGCGGUAAUACGUAGGGGGCAAGCGUUGUCCGGAAUUAUUGGGCGUAAAGCGCGCGUAGGCGGUUUCUUAAGUCUGAUGUGAAAUCUUGCGGCUCAACCGCAAGCGGUCAUUGGAAACUGGGGAACUUGAGUACAGAAGAGGAGAGCGGAAUUCCACGUGUAGCGGUGAAAUGCGUAGAGAUGUGGAGGAACACCAGUGGCGAAGGCGGCUCUCUGGUCUGUAACUGACGCUGAGGUGCGAAAGCGUGGGGAGCGAACAGGAUUAGAUACCCUGGUAGUCCACGCCGUAAACGAUGAGUGCUAGGUGUUAGGGGGUUUCCGCCCCUUAGUGCUGCAGUUAACGCAUUAAGCACUCCGCCUGGGGAGUACGGCCGCAAGGCUGAAACUCAAAAGAAUUGACGGGGCCCGCACAAGCGGUGGAGCAU